UGUGUGUGUGUGUCUCUGAAUGUAUGUGUCUGUAUGACAUACAGAGACAUACACACAUACAGACACAUACAUACAGACACACACACACACA